ACAUGGAGCUCCCUAAUGGGCUGUACUUGGGUGAUAAAAGUGGUGCUCCAAGUGCCAAAGAAGGGUGGGAUUGGGAUUAAGAAAUGAGCAGUGAUGGUGCAAUUGGCUGUUUUCUCUGGAAUGUGACUGUAAGAGCUGCAGGAGUGCAAGGUGUGUGUUCCAGUCCCCAGCAUUUGGUUUGCACAUGUCCUGCUCAGACACAGGUCCAACUUCCUCAGUCCUUAACGCAAUAGAGGGAGAAUUAAGGACUGGCAGUGUUAAGGUGAUUGGUGUGAGAGGGUUUAAACUGGGAAAACAUUGGGUAAUUCCCAAGUUUGUCUCUUUGUCAAACUGACCCAAACCUGUGCUAGGAAGAGAUGGAGUGGAAAAGUUGAGGCAGCAAUGAAAUGGAAAACUGGGGCUAUUGACACUGUAAUUGCUGAAACUAAAUGUGUCCAAGCAGCAGCUCUUGUUGUGCAGGGAAUAACUCCUGUCAGCAGCAAGGUCCCGACUGAAGUGGCAGCUGCAGUUGUUCCUGUGGUGUGGGCCAGUGGAAUUGCAGGAGAGUGGAAGAGGCAGAAGCUGUAGGUAUUACCCCUGAUGUGGGAUCUCUCCUGGAGAAAAUGGGGAAGCAGGAAGGAAGAAGAGAAGCCACGUGACUCCUCCCUGAGCCCCAGACAGCCCAGGAACUGCCUCCCUGGGAAUGGUGGGACGGGCUGGACUCUGGAAUGCUCCCUCUGGAUGUGUGACUCUCCCCUGCAGGAACUCCAGGACUCCUGGUGCCGCCUGGGCCGAUGGAUUGGACGCCCCAGCCCCUCCGUUCCUGCCCAGCCCCUGGGGCCGUGUCGAGUGGUGGCACUGCCAGCCCCUGCAGGUGAAGGGGAAAGGGCCUUUGCAGGUCUUGUGGGUCACAUUUAUAGCAGGUAAAGUGGCAGAAAAAGGCCCUGGGGUCUGUUAUUCUUGAGUUAAGAAAGCUCCUUUGGAUUGGUGAGCAGAACAAAGUGGAUCCUUCAGAGU